GUUUUAACCUUCGGGAGGGCGCUUACCACUUUGUGAUUCAUGACUGGGGUGAAGUCGUAACAAGGUAACCGUAGGGGAACCUGCGGUUGGAUCACCUCCUUACCUUAAAGAA
rnacentral:rRNA from 1 species